rnacentral:rRNA from 1 species
CCUACGGGAGGCAGCAGUAGGGAAUAUUCCGCAAUGAGCGAAAGCUUGAUGGAGCGACACCGCGUGAGCGAUGAAGGUCUUCGGAUCGUAAACCGCUGUCAUAAGGGAAGAACGGUUACUGUACUAAUCAGCUGCAGAUUGACGGUACCUUCACAGGAAGCACCGGCUAACUCUGUGCCAGCAGCCGCGGUAAUACAUAGGGUGCGAGCGUUAAUCGGAAUUAAUGGGCGUAAAGCGCUCGUAGGCUGUAUGUCAAGUCCAGGGGGAAAUCCCCGGGGUCACCGUGGGGACUGCCUUGGAAACUGGCAAACUAGAGUGUGUGAGAGGAUAGCGGAAUUCCAUGGGAAGGAGUGAAAUGCGUAGAUAUAUGGAGGAACAUCAGUGGCGAAGGCGACUAUCUGGCUCUAAACUGACGCUGAGGAGCGAAAGCGUGGGGAGCAAACAGGAUUAGAUACCCCAGUAGUC